rnacentral:pre_miRNA from 1 species
CAGGAUGGUCUCAAUCUCUUCUUCGUGAUCCGCCCACUUUGGCCUCCCAAAGUGCUGGGAUUACAGGUGUAAGCCACCACGCUCGGCCAAUAAAUUUAUUAAUAUUAUAUUAAGAUGAACUCCAAUAAGACCUUUGGCAUGUCAGUUUAACAUAAGUGAAAGGUCCUUUUUAUGCCUUUUGAGCCUUCCUUCACCUUCCAUCCAACACACACAUGUACCAGUAAAUUGCAGAUGCCAUUUCUGGGCUUUGCACACUUUCUCUGGCUUUCCAUGUUCUGCUCCUGACCAACUCUCUUGCCACCUGACUCCUCCCAGCCUGGCUGCCUGCUUUCAGUAGCUGGGCCAUUGCUGGGAACACUCUGUUGCCUCCCUGUGCUGUCCUCUGCUGUGCCAUUGUGUGGAAUGCCCUGCAGCCUGCCUCAACACAAUGAAGUAAUCUUACCAGUCGAUGCCCUGACUCCUGACGUCACCCUUCCCUGCCCUGUGUCACCUUUCCCUGCAUAUUUGGAGGAUAAGGCUUGAUUGAGGCUCGGGUACCGAGCUCCCUGAAGGUGCCUUGAUGCUGGCACAUCGAGAACCAGAUGCCACCCCGAUGAUAAGGAAGACAGACCCGGGACUUCCAUAUGAAUUGGGUAUGAUCGUCUGACAUGCACCCUACUAACUGAUGGAUCCUGCUGUUACCCCAAAGCUCCAGAACCACACUGGCCAGACACAGGCAUUUCCUGUCCCCUGAAGAGCCACUGAACCCAGCACAAAAGAGAUCUAGAGCUCUCCAAACCUAUGGAAUGGCAACCAAAACCAUGCCCAGGUUUUGAGUUAAGCCUCAUUAGUCUCCCUUUUCCCUUGACAGUGUAGAACUGUGCAGCGUAGCACUAAGUGAAUGAGAGCAGAAGCCUCAGGACAGAACUGAACCCACCAGCUUGAGCUGACAACACUGCCAGGGGUUCUGUCCACAGAUGGAAUAUUCGCUUUGAUCACUGAGUUAGGAGGCAUGGGUGAGGGAUGCAGAGCGCCGCUCGUCAUGAGACAUCAAGCUAUCCAAGUCAAUAUCCUAUUAGUAGGGAUGGCAUAUUAUAGAAGGUGGAAAGAUCUCACCUGCCCCAGCUGGAAACAGUGAUUCCAUUGCCCCAGAUUCGGAAUUGUGAUUUAAACUAGGCCUCUCUUCAGGCAUCAGAACCAAAUAAGAGUGGUUUAUAUGUGCAAGGAACUAAUGCCCCAGCUAUUGGGCAAAUUCCUCUGACUCCUCCCUGAUGGAACUAAUUCUUCUGUGCCCAGAUCCUAGAGACAAGAUCCUUAAGGUCUGAGUACAAGUUCCACUUCAGGAUGGCGCUGCUGCACAGCAGGGCACCUUGCAGGGCCCCUACCAGUCCACAGGUGAAGAUACCCUGGCCUAGG